ensembl:snRNA U6 U6 spliceosomal RNA
GUGCUUGCUUCGGCAGCACAUACACAAUAAUUGGAACGACAAAGAGUAGAUUAGCAUGGCCCCUGUGCAAGGAUGACACACAAAAUCAUGAAGCAGAAAAGUUACUA